UACGUAGGUGGCAAGCGUUGUCCGGAUUUACUGGGCGUAAAGAGCGCGCAGGCGGUCGUUCAAGUCGCGUGUGAAAGCCCCCGGCUCAACUGGGGAGGGUCACUCGAUACUGAUCGACUUGAAGGGCGGAGGAGGAAGCGGAAUUCCCGGUGUAGUGGUGAAAUGCGUAGAUAUCGGGAGGAACACCAGUGGCGAAGGCGGCUUUCUGGCCCGGUUCUUGACGCUGAGGCGCG
rnacentral:rRNA from 1 species